CCCACCAAGGCGACGAUCGUUAGCUGAUGUGAGAGCAUGGUCAGCCACACGGGCACUGAGACACGGGCCCGACUCCUACGGGAGGCAGCAGUAAGGAAUAUUGGUCAAUGGGCGCAGGCCUGAACCAGCCAUGCCGCGUGGAGGACGAAGGCCCUCCGGGUCGUAAACUCCUUUUACCCGGGACGAAAAAAGCCCUUUUGAGGGCACUUGACGGUACCGGGGGAAUAAGCACCGGCUAACUCCGUGCCAGCAGCCGCGGUAAUACGGAGGGUGCGAGCGUUAUCCGGAUUCACUGGGUUUAAAGGGUGCGCAGGCGGGCUUUUAAGUCAGCGGUGAAACCCGCGGGCUCAACCCGCGGACUGCCGAUGAUACUAGGGGCCUUGGAUGUCGCUGAGGGCAGCGGAAUGGGGCAUGUAGCGGUGAAAUGCAUAGAUAUGCCCCGGAACACCGAUUGCGGAGGCAGCUGCCUAAAGGACGAUCGACGCUGAGGCACGAAAGCGUGGGUAGCGAACAGGAUUAGAUACCCUGGUAGUCCACGCCCUAAACGAUGAUUACUCGACGUCCGCGGCAUACUGUGGGCGUCC
rnacentral:rRNA from 1 species